rnacentral:ncRNA from 1 species
ACAUUCCUUCGGGGCAGGGUGCAAUCCCCGACCGACGGUGAUGAGGCAUAGCCUCAAAGUCCGUGACCCGUGCGGCAUAAAGCCAAGCGGUGGACCCGGUGAAACUCCGGGACCGACAGUGACAGUCUGGAUGGGAGAAGGAAUUU